rnacentral:sRNA from 1 species
CCUUCACGAUUUCUUUCAAAGAAUAGGACAGGGUCGUGUGAUACGAGAUCAAGUGAAGACCGCUCAGCGGAGUUGUCACCAUCCUAGCAUCCAGAGGCUGGGCCUUUGUUCUCCCAGCCACAAUUCCAUUUUGACUCCACUGUCAGUGAAUUGAUAGCAGAGCUCAGUAUCCAAAUGCAUGUUUUAAAAUAGGUUUUUACAUUUGAUUUCCCAUUUCUCAUAUUUAGGUAAAACAUUGUUCUAUAAAUUGGGGUUGCCACCUGAUAGCUCUUUUUAUGUGGCCAGGUGCCUCCAUAAAAUUAGAUGCUUGAGAUAUCAGAUAUACCAGCUGUCCUGGAGAGAGAAAAGUUUCCUAUCUUUUGCGCAUUUUUCCGUAAAGGAGUUUUUCUUAUCUGAAGAGAAGUAAUUGAUCUUAUUUUAAUGAGUAUUUUGUUUUUCCCUUCAGUGUAUUCCACAACAGAAAAAUGACAGUGACUGUGGAGUCUUUGUGCUCCAGUACUGCAAGUGCCUCGCCUUAGAGCAGCCUUUCCAGUUUUCACAAGAAGACAUGCCCCGAGUGCGGAAGAGGAUUUACAAGGAGCUAUGUGAGUGCCGGCUCAUGGACUGAAACUCAGCAGGGACUCUGGGAAGUCUGACCAAGUUGGAGCAGAUGGUUUGUUACUUGAAUCUCCAAACACUUAGUUGAAUUUUUACAGAUAUUUCAGAUCAGUGGUGUUGGGCCACUAUUGUUACCUCAAAUUUAUUUUUUGCCCUUAUUCAUUUC